UAUUGUUUAUUAUUUAUUAACAAUUUUAGGCGUAUAUAAGUAAGGAAAACUGUCAAACAAACAGAUAAAAGUAAAUAAUGUCGCAUUUUUCAGUCACACUGAAAAGCUCUAAGCAGUAGGUACUCAUAAACAAUCAUUGAGGCUCGAAUUCAAGAACGCCACUCAUCUUAAAUCCAGCCCUCACUCAUCUGCCACUCACGUUAGGGUGAGAUGAGUGGUCCUUAACUAAAGUCAACUUUCGGUAUUCACGAACGACACUAAUGAGGCACUAAUUUGAGUAACAGCUGGCUGAAAGAAUACACUUUUAGUAGGUUAUGUUCUAAUAAGUGAAUAACUUCAUUCCGGUUUUAUAUCCUCAGUUCAGCUUUUUUAAAAUUGUUGUCACGUGCGGAAGUGUGUUGCGUUGACGGUGUUUCUAUAAACAGCCCGUAUUUAAAUAAUUUAUUGAAAAGUUAUAUAUACAAGAUGAGUGAAAAGAGGAGUUUUAUGUCGGGUGCCGAGAAGGAAUUUUCAAAAGAAUUGGCAUGCGAAAAAAGCACCAUACUUGAAUGCAAAAAGUCAGAUGCCGUUUCCAUCUCCAAAAAUAAACAAACUUGGGUGGAAGUGGCAAACGACUUCAAUAGUCAUGCAGAAAAUUCAAAAAGAUCUGUAGAUCAGCUUCGUAAAUGCUACGAAAACAUGAAGUCGCUGAAAAGAUAUUACUUGCGAAAAGAAACUCCGAAUGGCGACUGGAGGUGGAACCAGCAACUAUUGACCCAAUUGAUAAUGUCUUUGAUUUAACUUUGGAUAUUGAAUUAAAAGAUCAUCGAUAGCGAUGCAGUGGUGCAAAUGAAUGCGGAAUCCAAAGCUGAAACUGUUUCGACUCGAAAAUCAAGAACUGAGGAUCUAGUUACAGUUGUUACCUUAGAAGAACUGGAAGCUCCAACUAUUGAGCAUAGGAGGACAAAUUUUCGAAAUACGAUAACAGCAGUGAGGAUGUCCAGAGGUUUGGCCAGUGAGAAGGAGAUGGAUGUAAGAGUGCUGCGGGUGCAACGGUUGAUGGAGCAAGAUGAAGAGAGAUCACUCGGCGAAAAUGCAAGAGCAAAAUAUUCGUCUAGCCAUUGCCAGAGAAAUUUUAAAGCAGGAGGAAAUAAAGACAAAAAAAUUGGU
rnacentral:lncRNA from 1 species